GAUGAAUGCUGGCGGCGUGACUAAUCCCUGCAAGUCGUGCGAACGGACCCGUAGCUUGCUUGCCUGCUCAUAGCGGCCUACGUGUGAGUAACACGUGGAUAACCUACCUAUAAGACUGGGACACCUUCGGUCAACCGGUGCUAAUACCGGACCAUACUUUGACCCGCUUGGUUCAUGAGUGCUAGCCGGUUUUGCUUUCCCUUGUAGGUGGAUCCGCGCUUCUUUAGCUUGCUGGUAAGGUAACGGCUUACCAAGGCAGCGAUGCAUAGCCGACCGGAGAGGGUGAGCGGCCACACUGGAACUGAGACACGGUCCAGACUCCUACGGGAGGCAGCAGUAGGGAAUCUUCCGCAAUGGGCGAAAGCCUGACGGAGCAACGCCGCGUGAGUGAUGAAGGUCUUCGGAUCGUAAAACUCUGUUAUUAGGGAAGAACAUAUGUGUAAGUAACUGUGCACAUCUUGACGGUACCUAAUCAGAAAGCCACGGCUAACUACGUG
rnacentral:rRNA from 1 species